AUGGCCAUGACCAGACAACCAACUUUUAGGUUGGUGUGAGUCACUAUUGGUGAGAGUGCAGGAAGGGGUGUAUUUUGAAGAAGGGAAUAUAAA
rnacentral:lncRNA from 1 species